GUGCAGUGAACUUCCCAAAACUAUUUUUCUAGUUAUUUUAAGUCAAUUAAUUUCACUGAGUGUUAGAUUCCUGCACAGGUCAUGUUAUGUUGUGAGUGGGAACCAUUGAUUGUAGCGUUUGUUCGAAUGGGAUGCUUGUCUGUGUUGCGCACUAUUCUUUUUUGGGAGUGCGUGAGUUGCGUCAGCCUCAGACCGCGAGUGGACGCUGAUGAGGCAGGACGCACAUUUUCUCUCUCUUCUUCCAGCCAUAGUUGUGUUUAACGGAAGAAGUUAGCGCAACGGAUGUUUCUCUUAUCAAGUGUCCUAUGUGUUUCAGCCUCAGACCGCGAGUGGACGCUGAUGAGGCAGGACGCACAUUUUCUCUCUCUUCUUCCAGCCAUAGUUGUGUUUAACGGAAGAAGUUAGCGCAACGGAUGUUUCUCUUAUCAAGUGUCCCAUGUGUUUCAGCCUCAGACCGCGAGUGGACGCUGAUGAGGCAGGACGCACAUUUUCUCUCUCUUCUUCCAGCCAUAGUUGUGUUUAACGGAAGAAGUUAGCGCAACGGAUGUUUCUCUUAUCAAGUGUCCUAUGUGUUUCAGCCUCAGACCGCGAGUGGACGCUGAUGAGGCAGGACGCACAUUUUCUCUCUCUUCUUCCAGCCAUAGUUGUGUUUAACGGAAGAAGUUAGCGCAACGGAUGUUUCUCUUAUCAAGUGUCCUA